rnacentral:rRNA from 1 species
UACGUAGGGUGCAAGCGUUGUCCGGAAUUAUUGGGCGUAAAGAGCUCGUAGGCGGUCUGUCGCGUCUGCUGUGAAAACCUAGGGCUUAACUCUGGGCGUGCAGUGGGUACGGGCAGGCUAGAGUGCGGUAGGGGAGACUGGAAUUCCUGGUGUAGCGGUGAAAUGCGCAGAUAUCAGGAGGAACACCGGUGGCGAAGGCGGGUCUCUGGGCCUUACCUGACGCUGAGGAGCGAAAGCGUGGGGGAGCGAACAGG